UACGUAGGGGGCGAGCAUUGUCCGGAAUUAUUGGGCGUAAAGAGCUCGUAGGCGGUUUGUCGCGUCUGCUGUGAAAACUGGAGGCUCAACCUCCAGCCUGCAGUGGGUACGGGCAGACUAGAGUGGCGGUAGGGGAGACUGGAAUUCCUGGUGUAGCGGCGGAAUGCGCAGAUAUCAGGAGGAACACCGAUGGCGAAAGGCGGGUCUCUGGGCCGGAUACUGACGC
rnacentral:rRNA from 1 species